rnacentral:misc_RNA from 1 species
UUAACUACUGGACUAACCCCCUAACUGCUCUAAUCCUUACUUAUAACAGAUAGAAGAUCCUCUGAGAUUUGACUAAUAUUAUGAUGGUCUUCUUUCUAGACUCUGGCAGUUACACUUCCUUAUUUUGAAAGCAUCUGUCCUUAAAUGCCUCUUUUUCUUUUCUCUUCCUCUUCUAGUGGGAAGACAAAUGGAACUUAAUGAAACAGAUGCAGACAACAUGCUUUCUGCUUUUCACACUAUUUGCAUAUGCUUUGCCUUGGCUUGCAUAAUCUUGGCGCCUAAGAUGUGCUUUAAGCUGAGCUCAUUAUGUCUCUCUCGAUGAUUUAGUGCAUAUGCGAUUGGAUGCGUAUACACAGUCAUCAAAGUAUAUUUAAAUUAUUGCAUUCUUUAAUUAGUUUGGAGGGAAAAAAUAGAAAAGGGUUUUGAGGGCAGCUAAGAACUCCUAGAUUUUGGUCUAGCACGCACUUGGCAGCAUUUUGCUAAUGUUCAGGUUUACUGUUGAUUUUGCUGUGUCCCUUUCUUGUAAAUGACUUUCUCAUCUCUGUAUUUUGGUUGGAGAGAGAGAGAG